rnacentral:sRNA from 1 species
GCUGCUAGACUCCCUUCCUUCUUCAGGGAUCUUCGACUAAGUAGAAGAGGAGAAAGCAGAGCAUGCUGGGAAAAACACGGGUUAGAAUCAGAAAAUGGCGAUCGUUUUGUAAGACUCUCAUUGGCUAGUGUUUCCGUUGGCCAUUUGUGUUAGUUGCUUUUCUUGGUGCUAUAACAAAAUGCCAGACAAAAUGGAAUUUAAGGAAAGAAGGGUUUAUUGUGGCUCACAGGUUUGAGGACCAAGAACACAGUGGCAGACUUCAAAAUACUCUGGGGACCUGAGAGCAGGGAGAAUUCCUGCACCUUUCUGGAGAGGAGGAAAACGAAAGAGAUUCAGACAGAUACAACAGCACAUAUCAGGGGAAGGGGUUCAGAUGGAGAGUCUGACUUACCAUCACAGAGGAUUGGAACAGACAACGCCACGUCACAGAGGGACUGUUCACACAGUCCCUGAGGUGGAAGACUCUUUAACCAAGUGUCACAGGGUACAAGCAAGCCUCCUAGUGAGUAGCAAAGGGAGCAAGCCGCUGGAUCCAUCAUGUGAAUGGUCCCAGGACAGACAGAGCUUCUAUCCUAAGGACCAAGCUGACUUUCUAUAGCAAGAUGUCAUCAGCGUCUUUUUGAAGGGCCUGCUGUUGGACUCCCUGGGAAGUUCUUUUCAAACUCACAAAGAAGCAUCCACCCCACCGAGCACGGGGGACUACAUGAAGCUUCUGAAACAUUUCAGAAAAGCUAAUAUGAGCGGGAAUGAAUGUUUUAAUUUGGGCCAUGAGCAUAAUCUACUCAGUUGGAUAUGUGGCAGGGAUAAGACAAAGCCAAGGUUGUACGAUCCAAUGAAAGAGUGGAGAACGGGGAGACACUGGAAGUCUUGCCAGGGAAAUUACUGUGGUAGAUCUGCAAGCUGAUCUCCAGACUUGGGCUGUUCAGAUGAACGUUGAUAAACUUCAGAGACACGUCUCCACUUUAUAGCUUUAUCUGAAACACCCCAAAUGCUGGCACUUCUCCCAUCCUGCUCUCUAGUUUUUCCUAAUGAGAGACUGUAAGAUUCAUGCUCUUCAUCACCACUGCAAACUUCUGGUGUUCAGUUGUGCAAUCGUUACAGAAAGCACAUGCCGCAUCGUUCUGUGCCCGUUAAAGUGAGAGACAAAUGACUUGUUUGCUUGAGCGUGUCUGUCUGUCCCUCCUAAGCUCCUGCCUCCAGUAAACCAGUGGAUGCCCCAAACCUACACCAAACAGUUUUAAGUAGGAAGUAGUGUUUAUUUAAAUGUUGUAACAAAUCACAGUUGUAUCCAAUUAUGCAUACAAAACAAUUUUAUGCAAUAGCUAUAUGGUAUGGAGUGGUCGAAUCAAGGCAUGCAACAUGUCUCUCUUCAUGAGAACAUAUUAUUUAUUCUUCUUGUCUUAAUUCAUAUUUGUGUCCUUUGAUUCUUAUCUCUCCAUUCUUUCCCCUCUCUAGGCCCUUGCGAACACGUCUUCACUUUCCGUUUAAGUUUGUCUUGUAUUCUAUGUAUACAUAGAAUGUGAAAGAUAAACCUUGCCUUUAUCUUUCAGGGCCUGGCAUAUUACACAGUGCUCUCCAGGUCCAUCUGUGACUGAUGGAAUUUCCCCCUUGUCGGGUGAGGAAUGAGUGCUAGUGUCAUUUUUGUUUGUUUGGUUGUUGUUGUUGUUUUUAUUGUUAUUGCUUUGCAUAGAGCAGAGAAGCUGGCCCCCGAGCUUCUAAGGAGUUCUCCCUUCUCUGCCUCUUGAGUAUCAACACUGGGAUUAUAGAUGUGCACUACUAAGUCCAGAUAACAUGGGGAUGCUAACUCAUAUCCUCGCACAUGGAGCAAGUGCUUUAUCCAGUGAGAUCGUCUCCCUACCCCUGAUGGUCUCCUUUUGAAAGGCUGAAUAGUAACUCUUUCGGUAAAGAUACCAUAUUAUCUGUGCCUAUUCCUCCUCUGAUAGACAAAAAAUAAUGCACCUCUGACUUGACUUCAGUGAAUGAUACUGAAGUGAGCAUGAUAGGGCAUUUGCCUUUAAGAUAAUGGGUUUGAUUCCUCGGUAGUUUGAAUCCUUGAUACUUACUAGAGGGAGGAUUGCUGCAUUUAAAUUUUUUUGAUUUCGCUGUUCUCAAAAACACCCCAUUGUUCCUGCUAGCCAGUGUUUUCUCUUAGUGCAAUGAAUAAUCCCAGCUUGUUUAACUCUAAGAUUUCUACUGCUAGUGGUUUCUUCAAAACCCACGUAAAAAGCCUGUUGUUGUCAUGUGGAAUUCCACAUGGGAAUUCUAGCAUGUGGAAGGCAGGGACAGAGGCAUCCCUCGUCACUUAAUCAGCUACCUGGUGAUUAGUCUUAAUCAGUCUACUUGGUGAGUUCUAGUCCAGUGAGAGUACCUGUCUAAAACAAACAGAAAUGGCACCUGGGUUGGCCUUUGACUUUCCCAUAC